rnacentral:lncRNA from 1 species
GUAACUACUCACCUCUACUGUUACCACCUAAGCCCAAUCCUGAUAGCAAAUUUGUAGCUUCCUCGAAGAUUCCUGUCGAUAGCAAUAUUAAUUACAGCCUUUGUACUUCACGCGACAGAGGAAACACACAGCUUAUGUGCUCUUAUAAUUACUUACCAUCAAACAAUUCUAGAUUGUCAACAGCUCGUUCGACCAAGUUCAGAGCUGCUAUGGCCAGGCUCCUCAGCCGUUCGGCUCUCCCAUUGUUAGCUGGCUCAUCAAUAUCGUCCGAGACAACUAGGUUCGAUUCAUGUAUCCUGAGCGACAAACCCUUCUGACUUCUUGUGUCUACAAGACCAAACAAACAGGCUUAUAAUUGUUGCAAAGUUAGGCUUCACUUGAUUUUCAUUUCCACAUAUUAACAGAUAAGAAUUACUAUAACUAAACAAAGCAUAUGGACGCUCACAUUCGAUGAGUUUUUAGCCUGUUGCUUAUUGCCGUUAGUUCAUCUGACGGAUUAUUUCCAUCCACAGCUCGACGGACCAAACCCCCUUCCGUUGAGAUCCCUUCACUGUUCAGAGCCCUCGAAAGCACACUGCUGCUGCUUCCUCCUUGCCACCCAGUGCCUCUAUACUGAAGUUUGGCCCUCACCCGGCUCAAACUACGUGGUGCUCGCACUGUCACCAACAAAAUUCGAAUGCACUUACAUAUUAGGAAAAUUUAUAAUGGAUUUGCUUAUUCGGACAUUUUAUUGAUUUACUUAUGCCUGUACGAACCUGCGAUCGGCACAUUCUCUAAACCACCUGAGAUAUGGAUGCUCCCUGGUCGGCGGUUCGUUUGUAUUGGUUCACCUGCAAUUGGAGCAAGGUAGACAUCAGUCGACACAUUUUUUCUUUAUGUUUACUUCAUUCUUGUACACAAAUUCCAACCUCUGUUCUCAGCCCUUUGCAGUCUUCUAGCAGCUCAUUCGUGUGGGUGUACAUAGUGGUCAUCACUGUCGCUACUCGAUGAUUCAAUUUGUUCAUCCAUUUUCUCUUUUCCCUUGCCUGGAGCAUGCUCACCAGAGGUUCCACUGUCUGUAUGCUCUGCUCUCCCCGGCCUAGAUUCCCUGUCUGACAUACGCCUGACUUGAGCAGUCACAAUCUCUGGUUGAACUUGCUGCAAAGCCUCCAUCUGCGCUGCAAUGGUGAACAAACAUUUUGCUUUCAGAAGCUUCAUUGUUGUCCUCUAAUAACAAUAUUUAUAUUCUAUGCACAUACACUAUAAUAUCUGUCAUAGAGUAUUUUAUAUUCUUAUUCCACUUUUUUUAAUUCUGCUAUAUGCUUGACUCAUGUAUUUCUGUGGUUUGUUUUCUACAGACAUAUGACGCUCAUAGAUGCUUACAUGGAUUAACCUAUAAGCCACCAGGCUGUCCAACAAUUGGAUUCCACACCUCAUCUAUGCCAUCAAGGUAGCCCACUGGUUUUGUCUGCCCAACACGAAAUCAUCGUGUCAGCAAAACAUUUUAUGUAUAAUACACAUGCGAAGGAAGAAGUGUCACGUCAUAUAAGAACACCCAAGGCUGUGUGAUGUCAAAGUAAUCGUUGCCAAGUUAGUGUCAACAGUUGUACAAACCAAAGUGUUAUGAAAGAUGAUGUAUUAUUUUAACUUACAAUGAUAGCCAAGUGGCAACCUGGUAAUCUUAAU